rnacentral:rRNA from 1 species
CGAACGCUGGCGGCAGGCCUAACACAUGCAAGUCGCACGAACCUUUCGGGGUUAGUGGCGGACGGGUGAGUAACACGUGGGAACGUGCCUUUAGGUUCGGAAUAACUCAGGGAAACUUGUGCUAAUACCGAAUGUGCCCUUCGGGGGAAAGAUUUAUCGCCUUUAGAGCGGCCCGCGUCUGAUUAGCUAGUUGGUUGAGGUAAUGGCUCACCAAGGCGACGAUCAGUAGCUGGUCUGAGAGGAUGAUCAGCCACAUUGGGACUGAGACACGGCCCAAACUCCUACGGGAGGCAGCAGUGGGGAAUCUUGCGCAAUGGGCGAAAGCCUGACGCAGCCAUGCCGCGGGAAUGAUGAAGGUCUUAGGAUGGUAAAAUUCUUUCACCGGGGACGAUAAUGACGGUACCCGGAGAAGAAGCCCCGGCGAACUUCGU